ACUGAUGCCUGAACCUCGAGAAAGAGGAGAGAUUCUGGAGGUGAUGAAACACUUUGAACACUCAAAAUUUGCAUACAGUCAUCAGGAUCCAAAGAUAAGAUACGAAUGGUGUUGUCAUAUGAACCAACUGCAAGGAAUCGGGACCUCUGUCUUCCUUCUGGAACAGGGGCAAUAUCCAAACAGGCAACAUCUCCAGACAUCUCAUGCUUUUCCACCUCCAUUAGCUGACCAGUAAUAUCCACCUCAAAAUAUAUAAGCUCCCCUCCACU
rnacentral:misc_RNA from 1 species